rnacentral:rRNA from 1 species
AUUGAACGCUGGCGGCAUGCUUUACACAUGCAAGUCGAACGGGGUGAGGGGCGAACUCCUCAUUCAGUGGCGAACGGGUGAGUAAUGCAUCGGAACGUGUCCCGUACGUGGGGGAGUAACUCGGCGGAAAGCCGUGCUAAUACCGCAUAUGCUCUACGGAGGAAAGUGGGGGACCUGCAAGGGCCUCACGCUAUGGGAGCGGCCGAUGUCCGAUUAGCUUGUUGGCGGGGUAAGGCCCACCAAGGCGACGAUCGGUAGCUGGUCUGAGAGGAUGAUCAGCCACACUGGGACUGAGACACGGCCCAGACUCCUACGGGAGCAGCAGUGGGGAA